UUCAAAGAACUCUAACAGAUUAGUAAGGCAUGAUUUCCCUUUACAGAAACCAUGUUGACUUUUGCCUAACAAUUUGUGUUCUUCUAGGUGUCUUACAAUUUUAUUCUUUACUAUUAACUCUGACCACAUGCUGCCC